UACAGCCAUAUCACAUUGAAACACAGGCUCUCUCACGAUCACCAAAGUUAAGCAACAUCAAGCCUGAUUAAUACCUAGAUGCAUGACUGCUUGGGAAUACCAGGUGCUGUAAGC